UAAGCACUGAUAGUGUGCAUCAGUGUUAUUAUGUGUUUUUACAUUCUUAUGAAAGUAUUUUUUGCUAAAUUAAGUUUAUAAAAUUGACAGUUGUGUUUCAUUUUUUAAGUUGAGAAUCACAACAAUCUGUUUCCCUACAUUU